UUAGUGGCCGAGUGGAAUAAACUGUUGGUUUUCGACUGAUGUGACCCGGGUUCGAAUCCCGGCUUGAGAA